CGGAGGUAUUCGGGGAGGACAGGUGGUGCAUGGUUGUCGUCAGCUCGUGUCGUGAGAUGUUGGUUAAGUCCCGCAACGAGCGCAACCCCUAUUGCUAGUUACCAUCAUUAAGUUGGGGACUCUAGCGAGACUGCCAGUGAUAAACUGGAGGAAGGUGGGGAGUGACGUCAAAUCAUCAUGCCCCUUAUGACCUGGGCUACAAACGUGAUACAAUGGCUGGAACAAAGGGAUGCGAAGCAGUGAUGUGGAGCGAAGCCCAUAAAAACAGUCUCAGUUCGGAUUGAAGUCUGCAACUCGACUUCAUGAAGUCGGAGUCGCUAGUAAUCGCGGAUCAGAACGCCGCGGUGAAUACGUUCUCGGGGUUU
rnacentral:rRNA from 1 species